rnacentral:ncRNA from 1 species
AUAAUGAUACUUCCUUAUCGCCGCAGUCCGAGCGUUCAAAGCGUCGCAGGCAACGGGUAAGGCUCCGGCAGACCGCCGGAGGGGUGGAACUCCCAUGA